rnacentral:rRNA from 1 species
AGAGUUUGAUCCUGGCUCAGGAUGAACGCUGGCGGCGUGCCUAAUACAUGCAAGUCGAGCGAACAGAUAAGGAGCUUGCUCCUUUGACGUUAGCGGCGGACGGGUGAGUAACACGUGGGUAACCUACCUAUAAGACUGGAAUAACUCCGGGAAACCGGGGCUAAUGCCGGAUAAUAUUUAGAACCGCAUGGUUCUAAAGUGAAAGAUGGUUUUGCUAUCACUUAUAGAUGGACCCGCGCCGUAUUAGCUAGUUGGUGGGGUAAUGGCUUACCAAGGCAACGAUACGUAGCCGACCUGAGAGGGUGAUCGGCCACACUGGAACUGAGACACGGUCCAGACUCCUACGGGAGGCAGCAGUAGGGAAUCUUCCGCAAUAGGCGAAAGCCUGACGGAGCAACGCCGCGUGAGUGAUGAAGGUCUUCGGAUCGUAAAACUCUGUUAUUAGGGAAGAACAAAUGUGUAAGUAACUGUGCACGUCUUGACGGUACCUAAUCAGAAAGCCACGGCUAACUACGUG